rnacentral:rRNA from 1 species
GACGGAGGGUGCAAGCGUUGUUCGGAAUUACUGGGCGUAAAGGGCGCGUAGGCGGUCUGUUAAGUUCGGUGUGAAAGCCCCCGGCUCACCUGGAACUGCGCCGGAAACCGACAGACUCGAGUACCGGAGAGGAGGGUGGAAUUCCUGGUGUAGCGGUGAAAUGCGUAGAUAUCAGGAGGAACACCGGUGGCGAAGGCGGCCCUCUGGACGGAUACUGACGCUGAGGCGCGAAAGCGUGGGGAUCAAACAGG